rnacentral:rRNA from 1 species
UGCUGCAUGGCUGUCGUCAGCUCGUGCCGUGAGGUGUUGGGUUAAGUCCCGCAACGAGCGCAACCCUCGCCUUUAGUUGCCAGCAUUCAGUUGGGCACUCUAGAGGGGACUGCCGGUGUCAAACCGGAGGAAGGUGGGGAUGACGUCAAGUCCUCAUGGCCUUUAUGUCUAGGGCUACACACGUACUACAAUGGCCGGUACAAAGGGCAGCCACUCAGCGAUGAGGCGCUAAUCCCAUAAAGCCGGUCUCAGUCCGGAUCGCAGUCUGCAACUCGACUGCGUGAAGUUGGAAUCGCUAGUAAUCGUAGAUCAGCAUGCUACGGUGAAUACGUUCCCGGGCCUU